CAAGUGGACUUUGUCAAACCACACGGACAAUCGCUGCACAAAAGCACCUCCACGCACAGAUAUUACGAUCUUUUCUGAUUAAGUUUCGUCACUCGUGGAUGGCUCGCCGAGAUGCGGGGAACAUCUCUCGACUUCAAAUAAAGGUUCUGCCUGCGAAGGCAGGGCAAGCAGAGGCCGGGGAGGGUAACGAGGUCAACGGGUGGGAAGCAGUGGGUGCAGAUCUAGGUUACCUGUAUAUUAUGCAACCAACACUAGUGUAAUUUCAUGAUUGCGCGUGGUAGCACAUGCCUACAUGCGCAACACGAAGUGACGACUACGAAAGUAAUUGUAUGCGCAAUUGUUUCGCGGAUGCGACGGUUAUAUUCGGUACAGCAGAAAUAUUUGCCGUUGUCUGAAAUCGACCUUGUACAAAGAUUCCUCAACGAUCUCUUUCUAUAUGUCGCGUCGUAAUCUACUCCAGAAUUACGAAGGAGAACGUAAUAAAUCCGUAGCUCAUUUAUCUAAUCUGCGAGAUGUUCUAGAAUCACACCGAGUAUUCCUUCGAUAUCUUUAAUUCAAUUGCUCCUUAGCAACAACGCCAAAGGCGAUCACCGUUCAUCGUAUCUUUUCAGUCUUUAAUAUUGCACAUCUAUAGCUGAGCUUUUACUUUUUAUACUUAGAGUUCUGUUAAUGUACGCUCUCCUUCUGCCUAUAUCUCCGGAUCUCCGCGUUUGCACUCGGCAAUUAUUCGGCAAUUACAAGCGCUCCGAUUUUCGUCGGUAAAACUUGGAAUUAUAUCGAAGAAUUUGUAAUAAUAUUAAUGUUGCGAAAGCAGACCGCUACUUUUGGAAUAUCCUAUACGUGUAUAUUUCUGUUCGCUACCGCGCGUCUCCUGAUAUCGCGGGGGCCUUACGUAAUGUGCAAAAGACAGGGGACGAGAGAGAGAGAGAGAGAAAGAGAGAGAGAGAGAGAGAGAGAAGAGAGAGACCGAACGCAUUUCCUAGCGUGUGCAGCCUUGUCGAGGGACGACGACGGUGCAACGCGCGCUGCACCUUCGGCCGCGGGUCGCCGCAUAUAUAAGCGAACUUCGUAUUUAUAGGCACUCGCCAUCAAGGCCGAUCCGCAAUUUUAACUCACGUGGACACGCGCGAGACCUCGGAUUUUCCGCGUGACACUUUUUUUCUUUUUUCUUUUUUUUUUUUUUUAUUUAACGUCUUAAGAACACUAGCCAUUACUUUUAUCGACGCUUCAGAAGAGCUCUUCUAAAUAAAAAGAGGCAUGCCUUAUUUAGAAAGAAUUUUCGUAUCGCGUGAAUUCGACGAAACGCAUCGAGAACAAUGUUAAUUGCGCAGAGACAUGCCAUGUUGGAAUUCACAAACGGAAUCAAUAUUCAACGGAUAUUUAUCAAAAUUAAACCUCUUUACAUAUUUAUAAAAUUACACCUUAUAAUCGAGCUAUAAAAAUAUUGGUAUUAUGUACGCAUAGAUAUAUAAAAUUUUUGUAUUUUCAUUCACGUGAAGAUGCGAAACGAAAUGUUUGUACAUCUGAUAUCUCUUGAAUGUAUGUGAGAUAACUCGAUA
rnacentral:lncRNA from 1 species